UACGAAGGGUGCAAGCGUUACUCGGAAUUACUGGGCGUAAAGCGUGCGUAGGCGGUUCGAUAAGUCCCGUGUGAAAUCCCUCGGCUCAACUGAGGAAUGGCACGGGAAACUGACGGGCUUGAGUUCGGGAGAGGGAAGCGGAAUUCCGGGUGUAGCGGUGAAAUGCGUAGAUAUUGGGGAGGAACACCUGCGGCGAAGGCGGUCUUCUGGGACGUCCUUGGACGCUGAGGCGCGAAAGCUGGGGGAGCGAACGGG
rnacentral:rRNA from 1 species